AUUGAACGCCGGCGGCAGGCCUAACACAUGCAAGUCGAACGGUAACAGGAAGCAGCUUGCUGCUUCGCUGACGAGUGGCGGACGGGUGAGUAAUGUCUGGGAAGCUGCCUGAUGGAGGGGGAUAACUACUGGAAACGGUAUCUAAUACCGCAUAAUGUCGCAAGACCAAAGAGGGGGACCUUCGGGCCUCUUGCCAUCGGAUGUGCCCAGAUGGGAUUAGCUUGUUGGUGGGGUAACGGCUCACCAAGGCGACGAUCCCUAGCUGGUCUGAGAGGAUGACCAGCCACACUGGGACUGAGACACGGUCCAGACUCCUACGGGAGGCAGCAGUGGGGAAUAUUGCACAAUGGGCGCAAGCCUGAUGCAGCCAUGCCGCGUGUAUGAAGAAGGCCUUCGGGUUGUAAAGUACUUUCAGCGGGGAGGAAGGGAGUAAAGUUAAUACCUUUGCUCAUUGACGUUACCCGCAGAAGAAGCACCGGCUAACUCCGUG
rnacentral:rRNA from 1 species